CGAAUGCAUCUAGAUUCUUGGUCAUUUAGAGGAAGUAAAAGUCGUAACAAGGUCUCCGUUGGUGAACCAGCGGAGGGAUCAUUACAGAGUUGCAAACUCCCUAAACCAUUGUGAACGUUACCUAAACCGUUGCUUCGGCGGGCGGCCCGGGUCCUUCCCGGCGCCCAUCGGCCCUCGCGGGCGCCCGCCGGAGGUAAACCAAACUAUUGCAUUGUAUGGCCUCUCUGAGUCUUCUGUACUGAAUAAGUCAAAACUUUCAACAACGGAUCUCUUGGUUCUGGCAUCGAUGAAGAACGCAGCGAAAUGCGAUAAAUAAUGUGAAUUGCAGAAUUCAGUGAAUCAUCGAAUCUUUGAACGCACAUUGCGCCCGCCAGUAUUCUGGCGGGCAUGCCUGUUCGAGCGUCAUUUCAACCAUCAAGCCCCGGGCUUGUGUUGGGGACCUGCGGCUGCCGCAGGCCCUGAAAUGCAGUGGCGGGCUCGCUGUCACUCCGAGCGUAGUAGUUACAUCUCGCUCUGGGCGUGCUGCGGGUUCCGGCCGUUAAAAGCCUUAUUUACCCAAGGUUGACCUCGGAUCAGGUAGGAAGACCCGCUGAACUUAAGCAUAUCAAUAAGCGGAGGAA
rnacentral:rRNA from 1 species